UACGGGGGGAGCAAGCGUUGUUCGGAUUUACUGGGCGUAAAGGGCGCGUAGGCGGUCAGCACAAGUCAGUUGUGAAAUCUCCGGGCUUAACUCGGAACGGUCAACUGAUACUGUCGUGCUAGAGUGCGGAAGGGGCUACUGGAAUUCUCGGUGUAGCGGUGAAAUGCGUAGAUAUCGAGAGGAACACCUGCGGCGAAGGCGGGUAGCUGGGCCGACACUGACGCUGAGGCGCGAAAGCUAGGGGAGCGAACAGGAUUAGAAACCCUGGUAGU
rnacentral:rRNA from 1 species